rnacentral:sRNA from 1 species
GUCCCUACAACAUCCAUUUUAUCCACAGCUGGUACACAACUAAUGAUUCAACUAGGUCAUUUAUUUAUAUUUUAAAUUGCCUUCUAUGCUCUGUCAGAAGCCUACUUAACACUGAAUAAUCUAAAGCCCUGGUUCUUCUAUAGAUCUGGUAAGUAAAAGUGUUUUACAAAUGAGUUCUACUGAAAUAUUUUAAAUGUUUGCCCUUCCCACUCCCAUUUCCUAAUCCCUAUUCCAUGAAGCUUAGGUCAAUACAACAGUUUACGUAUGUUAACAUUUACAGAAGAAGAAUUCAAACAGAGGUGAAAUGAAAGAGAUUGAUCUUUGAGCACUUUCCCAUGAAAAUGUUGUUAUAUAUCCUUUGUGAUAUAAAAUUUUAAAUCAUAGAAUUAUAAAUAUUUGUAAGGAACACAGUCAUAUUUUAAUUAAAAAGAAAGGACUAAAAGAAGUUAAAUGCCUUUCCUUUGUCUAUAUGACUGUAUUGUAAUAAAUUAGUCUUCUUUCUCUGGAUGAAUAUCAGCAAAACUAACUUUCUAUGUAUUUCUUUUGAGUUUCAAACAGGAAACUUUAUCUGGGAAUACUUUAACAGUUCAUCUCUGGAAAUUUACAAGAGCUCUACAACUGUCCAUCGAAACUUCACUAUAAUGUGCUUAAGAGCCCUUAUAUGUGAUAUAAUUUUUAUAUGUUUUCAUCAGUAAGGAUAUCUUUAUGGACAAAUUCCAAAUGACUAAACAUGUAUGUGUAUGUGUGUUUCACACAUUGUCACCAUAAAGUAAGUUCUUACUGUUAUCAUUAGACUUACACAGAUGAAUAGAUGGACAAAUAGGUAGGUAUGUCUGUUCAGAAUGAUAUUAUCUUGGUUGGAUUGCCAUUAGUAUCAGAAAAGAAAGUGUUCUUUUCAAUACCUAUGAUUUAAGGGACAUUUUGCUAUAAGCUCUAAUAUUUCAUAAUUUCCAUUCAAAACAAUAUACCAAAUGAGAAGGAUGGAAAGAAUAGUCAAGGCUUCUGCCUAUGAAUCAAGACAAUGGAUGUGGGCAAUAAGUCUACCAUGUCUGAAUUUGUUUUGCUGGGGCUCUCUAAUUCCUGGGAACUACAGAUGUUUUUCUUUAUGGUGUUUUCAUUGCUUUAUGUGGCAACAAUGGGAAUAUUUUCAAAACUGUGCUGCUUUUUGCAAUAUAAAACUGUGGAAUCUUUUGGAAGAGACGCUAUUGAUUUUCUGUGCUUUUGUGGAGAAUUCUGAAACUCAAGAACAUUUGCCAAAAUACCCUCAAAGGUGUAGCUGAUCAGCAGACAACUCUAUAAGACAAGAUGCUGACACUCUUUUACCAAGGAUAACUGCAGUGACAUGGCCAUGGACUCGUUAAGCAAUAGUAAGGAUGGUGCCAGCUGCCACCGGAGUUUCCAGAGACAGAGAUAAUGUUCUGCAGAGAAUGCAAGAUAAGCAGGCAAGUAUAAUUUUAAGUGAUCUGCACUAUCUGCAAUAACACAAUUGAGGGAGUUCUGGAGCAUUUAUAAGAAGACUGUGUUGACAAGCAACUUCAUCUUCCUCUACGUGUUUAGAAAGCUGUGAAGCUUGACAACAAUUGAAUGCCGAUGGUAUAGAAAUCAGGUAUAGCUAAAACCAGAUAAAGUGUAAAUUUUAAUAUGUGAAGGAACUGGAUAUAUUAAUAGCAAUAAAAACUACAAAUUAUGUUUGUUUCUAAAAAUGCUUAAGAAAACUUUUAGAAUACUAUAUGGUAUAAUGAUGGUAUAGAAUACUAUAUGGUAUAAUAAUUGUAAAGCUUAGGUUUUAUAACUCGUCCUUUGCAUGGAUUUCCUCGAAGGCCCUAGAAUGGAAACUGACAACCUUUUAUUAGUUAUUUCGAUUUUUUUUUCCUGAAACAGGUGUCCUCAAACUGUAUAAGCUUUAAGCCUAGCUUGUCCAACCCAUGACCUGCAGGUUGCAUGCGGCUCAGGAGAUGGCUUUAAAUUCAGCCCAACACAAAUUCAUAAGCUUUCUUGAAACAUUAUAAGAUUUUCUUGUGAUUUUUUUGUAAAGCUCAUCAGCUAUCUUUAGUAUCAGUGUAUUUUAUGUGUGGCCCAACACAAUUCUUCUUCCAAUGUGGCCCAGAGAAGCCAAAACUUUGGACACCCCUGCAUUAAAAGGCUCUGCAGAAUCUGAAGUCUAAUAUGUAGUUUUAAAAGUCUUAGACUCUGGUAUCUUUUUUUUUUUUUUAAAAAAGCAGUGUUUAAUACUACUUCUACUACUAGUGGUGUAAACUUAAGCUAAGUACUUAAUACCUCUUAGCCUCAGUUUCUACAUAUGUUAAAGGAGAUAAUAGUGGUCUCUACACCACAGAGUUAUUUGAGGCAUAAAAGAAGCAAAUAAUAUGAUGUUAUACUUUUUCAUGCAAAGGAUCUUGAUGUCUUGCUUUAUCUCUUUUGGGAAUGAUAGUGCUAUUGUUGCUGUAGUAGUUGAUAUCUCUAACCAUUUUUGUUGGCUGAAGCUUAUUCUCUACUAUAUUCCUCAGGAAGUCUUCUUGAAGACCCUAUUCUCUGAAUUCUGGCGUGUUGGCAAGUUUCUUUGAAACAUUUAUGUACUGUAAUUUCAUUGGCUAUUCCUUUAUUUUCUUGAUUAUCUUAAAUUGAAAUAAUGACUCUCUUUGUAAGCACUUUGUCUGGAGUCUGCAAAGCCUGUGUUUUUCUUCACUCACCCUAGCAUACCAUACAAUUGGAAGUUUGGAACUGAUCUUUUAAUUUUUGAAGGGAGGUAUUAAUGACCCUUCUGAUAUUUACAUUAGUAGUCCCUCUAAAGUAAUUAAAUAGGACUCCAUUGCACUCAAGAGAUUUUAAAACAUUUAAAUUUCUAAAUUUCCUUUAAGUAUAUUAAAAUGUACCUAAAUAAAAUUGUUCUUCAAGAGUAACAUGUAAUUGAAUCAUCAACAUCUUUAUAUAACUUUUCCAAUUUUUUAAAGAAAGAUACCUCUCUUGCAGCUCAAUUGCUUUUUAAAUAAAAUAAAUUUGAAUCCCUGUUUGUACCUGGAGACCGUUUUGAUCUGCCCUCCUCACCUCACAUUUCACACAUGGAGAAAAAAAGUCUGCAC